UAAUUUACAAAGGUCAACUGUCAGCUCUAUCAUCCAAACUUUUCGCCAAGAAAACCGAAUUAACAGGAGACAACCUGGUGGUGGUCGCCCACGUGUUUUGACUGACCAGCAGGAGUUGGCUGUGGUGGAAAUGGUCAGGGCAAGGAAUGACAUACGGCUGUCUGAAAUCAAACAGGCUAUUGAGAACAGCAAUGACACCUUUGCCAAUGUGCCAUCAAUUAGCCUUCCAACGAUUCCCCGGCUUUUGAAGAAGCACCAGGUUUCCAUGAAACAAAUUUACUUGGUUCCUUUUGAGAGGAACAAUGUCCGGGUGAAACAACUGCGUUCAGAAUAUAUUCAGAGGGUGAUGGAGCUGGACGCUGCUGUGAAUCAUCACAAGUAUAUUUUCGUUGAUGAGGCCGGUUUCAAUCUGGCAACGUUGGCAAGUCCCUGGACAACGUGGGGGAAACAUCUCAAUGUGUGCAGCUAUAUCUGAAGAUGGUGUGGUAGGUUGUAGACCAGUUCUAGGGUCAUACAACACUGAACACCUGAUAGUGUGUGUGUGUGGGGUUUUUUUUUUUUUUUAAAUGAACUGGAGCAGGCCUGUCAGGGAGAAGACAUCGUCUAUGUUGGUGU